UACGGGGGGGGCAAGCGUUGUUCGGAAUUACUGGGCGUAAAGGGCGUGUAGGCGGCCAACUAAGUCCGACGUGAAAUCCCCAGGCUUAACCUGGGAACUGCAUUCGAGACUGCAUUGCUAGAGUAUGGGAGAGGGAAGUGGAAUUUCCGGUGUAGCGGUGAAAUGCGUAGAUAUCGGAAGGAACAUCAGUGGCGAAAGCGACUUCCUGGACCAAUACUGACGCUCAUGUGCGAAAGCGUGGGGAGCAAACAGG
rnacentral:rRNA from 1 species